GUAGGGAAUAUUGGACAAUGGGCGAAAGCCUGAUCCAGCCAUGCCGCGUGAUAGAUGAAGGCCCUCUGGGUUGUAAAUAUCUUUUAUCUGGGAAGAAACUCCUCUAUUCUUAGAGGCCUGACGGUACCAGAGGAAUAAGCACCGGCUAACUCCGUGCCAGCAGCCGCGGUAAUACGGAGGGUGCAAGCGUUAUCCGGAUUCACUGGGUUUAAAGGGUGCGUAGGCGGGUUGAUAAGUCAGUGGUGAAAGCUCCGGGCUUAACUUGGAAACUGCCAUUGAUACUGUCAGUCUUGAAUGUCGUAGAGGUAAGCGGAAUGUUGCAUGUAGCGGUGAAAUGCUUAGAUAUGUUACAGAACACCAAUUGCGAAGGCAGCUUACUAUGCGAUAAUUGACGCUGAGGCACGAAAGCGUGGGGAGCAAACAGGAUUAGAUACCCCUGUAGUCC
rnacentral:rRNA from 1 species